rnacentral:lncRNA from 1 species
UAAGAAUAAGAAUAAGAAUAAAAGAAUGGAGUUGUUGGAGAAUUCUGAGUGCUUAUGAGAAGAAACCUCCAAGAAAAUAAGUCUUGUGACCUCAGUUUCUCCAGAAACACAGAGUUGUUCUUGAAUGUGCUUUUGUGCUUCUCCCAGGUGAGUGAGUUUGCUUUCGAUUAUUCAUUAAACCUGGCUGUUGUUAUUUGUUUAUAUGUCUCCAUGGAAAACCAUGCUUCUUGCCAGGUGCGGCUUGUCCUUGAGAUUGUAUACAGAUUGAACUCACGAGAACUUUACUUACAUGGCCUUUCUUAACUCUCAGCACAUAAAUUGUCUGGUGCUCUGAAUAAAGUUGGCUAUUGCUUGAGGUUCUAGUCUGCCUCAUUUAAAAAAAAAUUAUGUGUUCACUUAUAAAAUAAUCAUGUAUUCCAAUAGCAGCCCUCCUCCUCUCACUACCCCCUAUGCAGAUCCUCCCUGUUCCCUUUCUCCUCUGAGAAGGGGAAGCCCCCUCUCUGGGUAUCACCCUCCCCAAACCCACACACACAUCACUGCAGGACUAGGCACAUUCUUUCCUGCUGAGGCUAGACAAUGUGGCCCAGUUAGAGGAACAGGAUCCACAAGCAGGCAACAGAUUCAGGGACAGUGUCCGUUCCAGUUGUUGGGGGACCCGCAUGACGACCAAAUUGCACAUCUGCUGCAUAUAUGCAGGGGAGCCUAGGACCAGCCUGCGAUCACUCUUUGGUUGGUGGUUCAGUGUCUGGGAGCCCCCAGGGGUCUAGGUUAGUUGGUUCUGUUGGUCUUCUUGUGGAGUCCCUGUCCUCUUCGGGUCCCUCAAUCCUUCUCCUGACUCUUUCAUAAGACUCCUCAAUUUUAAGAUCCAUUCUCCCAGGUUCCAUUGCCUUUUCGGUGGUAAACACUCUCGGUCCACACAUUCCACUAAUAGGAGCCUCACAUAGAAGUCAAAUGCUCUUCAGACAACUUUCCAGCAGGCCCUACCCUCCUGGAGGCUGUUCGCAGGCCUUAGCUCCUGCCUGACGUACACAGCCCCUGCUCACACUCAGUGUCUAGGGGAGCUGCAUCUCCCUGCUCCCUUUGUCCAGCAAGGCUGAUUUGUGGCCAUGGGGAUGAGUCACAGUUCAGAUGGAGCAGGUCUGUGCAGUUACCUCGCAUCAGGAAAAAGGGGUGAUGAACCUGGCCCAUUAGCUCUGAGUUAAUGGCGUGAUAAUGGCUCCAUAUUUCUUUCUCCUGAUGUGUAGCAGGAAGCUGGUUCACAGCAGCAGGUCAUCAACAGGGCAGACCCAGGGUAAAAACCCAGUUGUGAAUCUCUCCAGCCAUGAGACAGUCCUCACAGUGUGUACAUGCACACACAUAUUUAUGGCAGGCAUUGUUGCGUGCACACAGGCAUGUGUAUGAAUGCACUGUUAGCUGGCAUAUACAAAUGUGUUGACAUCUCCCUUUGUGCCCUCUCCUCUGUGUGUGUGUGUGUGUGUGUGUGUGUGCCUAUGUGCUCAUGUGUGCAUUUGUGUUAUAUAUACAUGUCUGCAUGCAUGUGUGUUCACAAAUACAUGCGUACCUUGGGAAUUAAAGGAAGGAGAAAGUCUCGGGUUUGGAGGAAAAUGAAAACUCCUAGCAGAGACAGUUAUUAGAAUGUCAGCCCUGCUUCAUGGCCUGCUUGCCUGCUCCUAAAUGGGCCAAUUUGCCUCCCUUCCUUUGUUCCCUCUACAGAGACAGCCAGACAAAUGGAGAUGCAUGGCCUGCUGGAUAGGGGUCUGGCUUAUUGGGGAAGAAGCAUAUUCCGGAAGGACCAAGGUGUGUGUGUGGGGGGGUGGGGGUGGGGGGGUGUCCUUUCCUACUUUGAUAUAAAGCCACACAGGACCCGCUCAUUUCCCUAAGAUGCUCUUCUGCUGCAACUCUUGGUGGGUUUUCCUCUUUUUGUGGCUCCUCUUUGAAACCACUCUGUACUGAGUCCUCAGAGGGCCCAGGUCACCGGGCCUCACUUGAGCCAUCUAGGAUCACCUUCAAGAGGACAGUGUACCUGUGAAUGGGAAAGGCACCUCCAGAGAGGGAAUUCACUAGAGUCUCCAGGCAUUUUCCAAAGAAACUACCCCUGAUACAUGCCUGGACACAUCUCCAGGGCUGUGAGCAGGCAUACAUGUACAGAUGUUCCUAAGAGGCAGUGCUAUGUGGAAGAUCAUGGCCAUCUAGACACUCCACUGUUGUCUGCUGAAGGGCCCCAGAGCUCAAGUACUGACCCUUAGAAAUGACCAGCCAAGCCACUGGCAUGGGGAGAGGGAAGUGUGAGGGUUCCUAGAAAUCGGUGAUUAUGACCACUUCCGUGAUCCUGUGGUACUCAUGGAACCUGUGCCUCACCCUAUCUCUGUAUUUUUUUGUCUCCUCUUUGAAGAUCAUUCCAUACUGUUGUUAGUUGUCAUUGUAAAAUUUUAACACACAUUAGAAUCAUUUGUGAAAAGGGAGCCACAGCUGAAGAAUUACCUCUGUCAGAUUGGCAUGUGGGCAUGGCUGGGACAUUCUCCCUCCUCCUCCUCCUCCUCCCCCUCCU